rnacentral:rRNA from 1 species
GACGUAGGGCGCGAGCGUUGUCCGGAUUUAUUGGGCGUAAAGAGCUCGUAGGCGGCUUGUCGCGUCGACUGUGCAAUCCCGCGGCUCAACUGCGGGUCUGCAGUCGAUACGGGCAGGCUAGAGUUCGGUAGGGGAGACUGGAAUUCCUGGUGUAGCGGUGAAAUGCGCAGAUAUCAGGAGGAACACCGAUGGCGAAGGCAGGUCUCUGGGCAUUAACUGACGCUGAGGCGCGAAAGCCAGGGGAGCAAACGGG